UACGAAGGGGGCUAGCGUUGCUCGGAAUCACUGGGCGUAAAGCGCACGUAGGCGGAUCUUUAAGUCAGGGGUGAAAUCCUGGAGCUCAACUCCAGAACUGCCUUUGAUACUGAAGAUCUUGAGUUCGGGAGAGGUGAGUGGAACUGCGGGUGUAGAGGUGAAAAUUCGUAGAUAUUCGCAAGAACACCAGUGGCGAAGGCGGCUCACUGGCCCGAUACUGACGCUGAGGCACGAAAGCGUGGGGAGCAAACAGG
rnacentral:rRNA from 1 species